GCCAGAGCCCCCCGAGCCUCACCGCCCACCUCCUCCUCCGACUCCUGGCAUUUAAUCCCCCAAGGCCGCUCGUCGGUUCCUGCAAAGACCCUUAACUCGUUUUCUCUCAAUAACGUUUAAAAGAAAGUGUUAAAAGUUCCAUUUUACAGACCGGUUGACUGAGCCUUAAAUUCAGGACGCUCCCAGGGCCCCCGAGGGGCAGAGUCUGGAUUCCUGCCUCCUGCUUUCGCUAAAGCCCCUUCCCCAUGCUUGUCCCUGCCUAGGCUCUGCGGCUCUCUGGAGAUGGAGGAAGACUUUUCCCUGGACGGCUCUGCGGGCUCUGCAUCAGCCAGCGCCCCCGUCUCUCCUGCAGGACCCUGCUCUGCACUGCCUGCUGCCCCGCUGUGUCCAGGGGGGAGGCUGUCCCUUGGGAAUGUCAUGUGAUUGCUGUUCCCUGUGCGUGAGAGGUGUCCUUGGGGAGAGCCUGGAUGGUGAAGUCCCAGAUGGGUCUGCGGUGCAGAGGCUUCAUGGCAGGCGUCAUCUUCAUAUCAGCCAGGCGCUCCACCGUGGAGCCCCGAGGUGAGGUUUUGGACCAUUCUCUGGAAUUUUGUGUGGGGGGGUUUUGUGCCUGUAAAGUCACGUACAUGUUCCCUUGGGCUUGGAUGAUAAUGUGAGGGGAAGUGAGGUGGAAGGUGAAGGUGGCAUCCCGUGAGUUCCCGGUUGUGUCCCUGCUGUGGGGCAGUCCCUCACAUGCCUACAGGGGAGAGACCCCUAGAAACCCGUUGGGUAGAGGGCUCCCUGGGCGUCUCCCUUCCAAGUCCUGGAGUGCCAGUGCAUGCUGUGACAGAAAGCAUGUGGAUUUAGCCUGUCCAGCUCUGUGACCUAUUCUCAAACUCCACUUGUUCACCUGAAAAGCAAAGCUGGGAUAGCGAUGAAGGUUUUUAAAAAAUUUUUCAUGGUGGUGUCAUGACCACGUGAUCCUGAUCUUUUCCAACCCAAAAGCAUUUUGGUUUUUAUGCUGAAAGUGUCUUGACCCCCCCAUGGCACAGAGGUUUUAUGGGGACUUGGCCGGGCACAUCAGAAGCUGCUGGGGCUCUCUGCUUGGCUGGGCUGCUCUGCCCGCUCAGGCCAGGCCCCAGGCGCCUGGCACCAGCCUCCCGUCCUUCCUCGCUCUCUUUCUGUCCGUUUCUACCCCUGCAUUCGAAAGUGAUGGUGGGCUGCCUGUGCCCUGGUCAUUGAUGGUGCAGGGAGAGGAAGUGCUGAAAGAGGUUUUCCCCAUGUUUGGAGGGGCCACCCAUCCCUUCCAAACCCUGGAGCUUUCACACACUAGCCUUUUUCCCCUGUCCUUCCCGUCAGAGCUUGGGCCUUUGCUGGCGGCCAUGUCAUAUGAUGAGUGGGCUGGCCCCCUGAGUUGUGGGGGUUCACUUUGUCUUUUCAAGUUCAGGGUCCUCUUGUCAGGAACCAAUCUGUACAUUUACAUUUGAAUGUCACACUGGAAUAAGUUUAGAUAGUGCUGAAGGGCACAUGUGAGCAUGUAAAUCCUGGGUUCUGCUUUAUGAAUUUAUAGGAGUGGAGGAUAAUCCAUAAUAAUCCAUUAUUCAAGACAGCUUGUGACUUGAAGCCCUGUUUCUGUGUUGUCUUUGCUCCUUUACUCUGUUGAGCACAAUGUGUUGCUUCUCCAGGAGUCAUUAGUAAUGUUGAAUAAAUGGAGAAAGAAACAUAAAGGUGGGGGCAGAUGUAGGGGCAAAGAGGGGUUCUGUCAAUUCUGAAUCAACGAAAGUUUUCGUUUGUCACUGUCUACCGGCAGCCCGAGAAGUUUUCUUGUCAGUAACUGAUGAGAGAGGAGCACAUUGACUUAAUCAACCUGUUUGUAGCCCUCCUUUCACUGACUUUUACUCUGUGCUUUUGUGGGUUCUCUUGAAAGGGGUGCCCCCAGGGGUAUACUAGAAGAGAAAUUCUCAGGCCUGUGGAUCUUUGAAAUCUGUUUGUAGACUCAAGACUCCUUAGCUUGCUUUCUGGUUCACGUUCGUGAGAAGACUGUGUUGCUGCCUGGGCUCCCAGCCAUGUAGUCAGCCAUCAACAGAUAGGCUGACCUUCUGCCUUUCAUUCUGGGUGCCGCAGAGGUGUUCCGUGGGAGGCAGAAACCGUGUGACGGUGCCUUCACAUCGUAGACUCAGAAGAUGCAACAUGGUGCCCCCGAGAGGCUUGUCUUGGCUCCCACGUAACAGAUGAGGUCAGCCUUACAUCUGGAGACUGUUGAAGGAAGUCCCAAGGCCAUGAGUCCGUGACCCUUGGGAUGACUUGGGAUCUGGGUUUGCUGAUAUUUCUCCCAAGGCUCUCUUGGUGGUGUUCAUGGACACCAGAGGGGCAGAGAGUGGAGAUUGAGGUCACCACAUGAAGUGUCGUCAGAGCUCCUCCUCAUUGUCUGCUCAGAGCAUCAUGGAACAACCGUUCACUCUGCGUGAGAGAUCAGAGGGAAAGCACUGGAACUGGGGACUUGGGGUCCACUUCAGCUGGCUCUGAGUCUUGACCACAGUACCCUUUAGAGGGCCAUGGACAGGAAAGGCCAGCCCCGUGUCCCUGUGACACGCCUGGGAUGACUUUAUUUUUUAUUUUUUUGUGAGGAAGAUCAGCCCUGAGCUAACAUCCAUGCCAAUCCUCCUCUUUUUGCUGAGGAAGACUGGCCCUGGGCUAACAUCUGUGCCCAUCUUCCUCCACUUUAUAUGGGACGCCGCCACAGCAUGGCUUGACAAGCGGUGCGAUGGGGCGCGCCCAGGAUCCGAACCCAGGCCACCAGCAGCAGAGCACGCACACUUAACCGCCAUGCCACCAGGCCGGCGCCUAGGAUGACUUUAAUAACCAAGAAUUUUUCUCUUGAAUUUGUAGCUGCUCAUCGCUUUCCUCUUUGCCCACUCAUUCAAUAAACCUUGCAAACUUGC